GACGAACGCUGGCGGCGUGCUUAACACAUGCAAGUCGAACGGUAAGGCCCUGCUUUUGUGGGGUGCUCGAGUGGCGAACGGGUGAGUAACACGUGAGUAACCUGCCCUUGACUUUGGGAUAACUUCAGGAAACUGGGGCUAAUACCGGAUAGGAGCUCCUGCUGCAUGGUGGGGGUUGGAAAGUUUCGGCGGUUGGGGAUGGACUCGCGGCUUAUCAGCUUGUUGGUGGGGUAGUGGCUUACCAAGGCUUUGACGGGUAGCCGGCCUGAGAGGGUGACCGGCCACAUUGGGACUGAGAUACGGCCCAGACUCCUACGGGAGGCAGCAGUGGGGAAUAUUGCACAAUGGGCGGAAGCCUGAUGCAGCAACGCCGCGUGAGGGAUGACGGCCUUCGGGUUGUAAACCGCUUUCGCCAGUGACGAAGCGUGAGUGACGGUACUGGGUAAAGAAGCACCGGCUAACUACGUG
rnacentral:rRNA from 1 species